ACGACCCUCCCCCCGCCGCCCUCCACCUUCAAAUAACAGCUGCCCCGUGCACGAGGAGGCCAGAUCCCCAAAAGGGUGUGUUCACUCGUCUCCCCCCAUCCAUCCACAACCGGCUGCGGGCCGUCUUUGCGGUAGGGUCUGGAAUACGGCCAGCUCACCCUUCUGAGGGAAUGCUACAGUGGGGCACAGCUGCUGAAACUAAGAAAACAGCGAAGGAAAAUGUACCCGGGUGGCUGUCACCGAGAAGAGCUCCUUGCUACGAGAUAAAAUGUGCCACAGAAGAAAUCGUUUGAUCAGAAUGUGACGGAGAUCCCAAAGAAGAGAAUCCAGCCCCAUGGCGAAUGUCUGAAGAAAUGGAAACGAACCUUCCUUCUUAUUCAUUCCGCAAUUUUUAUGAUGCCUCCCUCUAUGAUACUUUGUUUUAUCCCUGAAACUGUAAUGAUUUUUUGAUGAGUUUAAUCCUAAAAUUAGCUAUGUGGGUCUGUAAAAUCUGCAUUUCCUAAAGAGACGCUUGGCUCCUGGUAGUGUGCUUAAUAAAAUCAUGGUGAUGAUGAA